ACGGUCUAGUCUAUUGGAACAUUACGUCAUAGAGGGUGAGAACCCCGUAUGUGACUGUGGCUCGAGCCCAUGUGAAGCCUCUUCGACGAGUCGAGUUGUUUGGGAAUGCAGCUCAAAAUGGGUGGUAAAUUUCAUCUAAAGCUAAAUACUGGCUGGAGACCGAUAGCGCACAAGUAGAGUGAUCGAAAGAUGAAAAGCACUUUGGAAAGAGAGUCAAACAGUACGUGAAAUUGUUGAAAGGGAAGCGCUGGCACCCAACCUGUCCCCGUAGACGAUCAGCCGCUGUUCUCAGUGGUGCACUCGUUCUGCGAUCAGGCCAGCAUCGGUUUCGGCGGUCGGAUAAAGGCCUGGGGAACGUAGCUCUCCUUCGGGGGAGUGUUAUAGCCCCGGGCGCAAUGCGGCCAGCCGGGACCGAGGACCGCGCUUCGGCUAGGAUGCUGGCGUAAUGGUUGUCAGCGACCCGUCUUGAAACACGGACCAAGGAGUCUAACAUCUAUGCGAGUGUUUGGGUGUCAAACCCAUGCGCGGAAUGAAAGUGAACGGAGGUGAGAACCCUUUAGGGCGCAUCAUCGACCGAUCCAGAUGUCUUCGGAUGGAUUUGAGUAUGAGCAUAGCUGUUGGGACCCGAAAGGUAAAUUGAAUCAUCCCUAAUAUUCCCUGGAAUUAUAAGCUAACGUAUUCGACAGAUGGUGAACUAUGCCUGAAUAGGGUGAAGCCAGAGGAAACUCUGGUGGAGGCUCGCAGCGGUUCUGACGUGCAAAUCGAUCGUCAAAUUUGGGUAUAGGGGCGAAAGACUAAUCGAACCA
rnacentral:rRNA from 1 species